GGGUAUAAAGGGGGCUCCCCCGGCCCCGGCCGCCUCUCCGCUCGCCUGGCCGCAGCGCGUGAGUCGGUGCCGGGCCCAGCCGCGCUCCCGCCGCCGCCCAGAAAAACACAAAAACCCAAAAAAAUCGCAAAAACCCGAGAAAAAAAAACUCCCAAGAAACAAGCCAGCGCCGGGGCGAGAGCGGCGCCCCCCGGUCCGCGUGUCGGUCCGGCCCCUUCGCCCCCCCCGGUCCGCGUGUCGGUCCGGCCCCUUCGCCCCCCCCGGUCCGCGUGUCGGUCCGGCCCCUUCGCCCCCCCGGUCCGCGUGUCGGUCCGGUUCCCUUCGCCCCCCCGGUCCGCGUGUCGGUCCGGCCCCUUCGCCCCCCCCGGUCCGCGUGUCGGUCCGGCCCCUUCGCCCCCGGUCCGUUGGUCUGUCCGGUUCCCUUCGCCCCCCCCCCGGGCCGUGUGUCGGUCCGGCCCCUUCGCCCCCCCCGGGCCGUGUGUCGGUCCGGCCCCUUCGCCCCGGUCCGUGGGUCUGUCCGGUUCCCUUCGCCCCCCCCCGGGCCGUGUGUCGGUCCGGCCCCUUCGCCCCCCCCCGGGCCGUGUGUCGGUCCGGCCCCUUCGCCCCCGGUCCGUGGGUCUGUCCGGUUCCCUUCGCCCCCCCCCCCCGGGCCGUGUGUCGGUCCGGCCCCUUCGCCCCCCCCGGGCCGUGGGUCUGGCCGGUUCCCUUCGCCCCCCCCCCCGGGCCGUGUGUCGGUCCGGCCCCUUCGCCCCCCCGGUCCGUGUGUCGGUCCGGCCCCUUCGCCCCGGUCCGUGGGUCUGGCCGGUUCCCUUCGCCCCGGUCAGUGGGUCUGUCCGGUCCCCUCCUCCCCCACCCCCCCGGUCUGUUGGUCUGUCCAGGUCCCACGUUUUUCUCCGCCCCCGUCUAUUGGGUGUGUCCGUCUCCCAGGCCCGGGGCCGGCUGGCUGUCCCUUUGGCCCCUGGCCCUUCGGUGUUUUUUCACGGCUCCCGGACCCUUUCCCCUUGUCUGUCCCCCGGGUCCCCACCCUCGGCUGUCUGUCUGCCUGCGCCCUCUUUGCUCCACGUGGGUCUCUGCCCUUCUCCUCUCCCCUUAUCGUGUGUGUCUGUCUGUGCCACCCAUCGCACCGCGCGUCCUCCCCUCGGGAAAGGAACUGCCCAUGCCUCCCUGCCUGGCUCCUCCAAACCAGUGUUCAUUAGUCUAGUCGGAGGAACCCGGGUAUAUUUUACAUAA
rnacentral:lncRNA from 1 species